ensembl:lncRNA novel transcript
CUGUCCCGGCCCACUGCAGCACUGGCCAGCCUCUCCAGCUUCCUCCAGGCAUCCAGCCGCUCACAGGGGGCGGUGGAGAGACCCAAUGGCAGAGGCAGAGAGGAGGGCAAUUCUGGAAGCCGUCAGGGCAGAUCUGGGGGCGUCUGGAGGAGUCUAGACUUGAGCCUCAGCUCCCACCCCCGCUGCUUGAGGUGAGCGGGUGUGUCAGGCCAGGCAGGGACUCAAGCUGGUGACUCAAGCCCGACAGCUGCAUGGUCCUCAGCAAGGAGUCCUCCCUCCCGCAGCCCCAAGGUGGAAUCUUAGAAGCUGGGAAUUCCAGAACCAGAGAGCAGAGUCCCAGAAGGAAGGGACCUCAGGGAUCCUGCCUCUCCUUUGUGUGAGAGGAAACUAACUGGAGGACCACAAAAGGGCAUGGCCAGCUUGGGGGUCACCCAGGUGUCAGGGAAAUCAUUAGUCACAGAAGAGGGGCUGCUUGGGUUCAGUACAAACCAGCUUAGUCCCAACGGGUGUCAGCCAGACCCCUCCGCACCCUCUUCCUCACCAGCGAGGGGCCUGGGUUCUUCAGUGUGGAAAGAAAUGUCAGUCUUUCCCACAGCCUACGUUCCCACCUCUCAUCCCGGAGUGGGCAAGCCCCUGCCCCCGUGCUGGGCCUCUCUCCUGUCCUUCCCCGCUGCAGAUGAUGAGGCCGGGACAGGUGUGGGGCCCUCUAGGCUCAGGUGAGGGGUUAUGAGCUAAGGUUUCAAGAGGAGCCUGAGAGCAGGGGACCCAGGUCUCAGCGAGAGCUGCGUGGGGAGGAGGAGCCACCUUGCCUGAUGCAGGUUGCAGCCAGAAGGGGGGACCCAGAAGAUUCCUCAGCCGCCCAACCAGCCCCUAAGUCCAUCGCAGCCCACCCCAGGACGUGCCUGAGUAGAAGGAGACCCAAGACACAGGCACAGCCUUCCAUCCAUUGAGGAAGUAUUUUCUGAGCUCCUACUCUCUGCCAAGCACAUCCACUCCCGCUCCUCCCACCAAGUUCUGGAGCCAGGACGGGACCUCCAGAGCAAGCACUGUGGGACGGGUGUCCAGAAGAACCCACUUCUACCACCGCCAGCCUCUGCUGCCCGCAGGCUGCCUGUGUCUCAGCCCCAGCCCCCGUCCUCACAGCUGCAAAUAAAGGCUCAAUCUUUCAUCAAAACUUUCCUGCAAUUGUCCUUCUGUCAUCACAGCCCCUGAUGCAGAAACCAACCAAGGAGCUGUAGAAACACAGAGGCAGAAAGGUGAGGUCAUCCCGUCUAGCACCCAGUCUCAGGGCAAGAACGCGUUCCACAGCCCAGCUGAGUCUCAGAGAGAGUCCACCCUCCCACAGCCUUCUUUGGCUCACUUCUCCCCAGGGUUUGCCCACAUUCCUCCAGGGAAGUCCUUCCUGGAGGCUAACUUAAGUGCCUCCUGCUGUCGCUUUAACUUCUCAAGGGGAUGAAACCCAGAAGAUAGGCUUAUUUUCUCAAGGGGCUCAGGGACUGGGGUGGGGAGUGCUGUGGGCGCACAAGUGGGAAAACUUUCUCCACCUCUCUCAGCUUUCUUUUCUUUCUCUUCUCCACACCUCAUUCUUUCCCUUUCCCUCCUCUCUCUUUAGUCGUCUCCCACUCAACUCAGCUGCUGGCUGGGAGCCAGCAUUGUUCCUGCCUGGCUCCCCUCUCCCCUCCUCCUUCCCUCUCUGCGCCCCCCUCCAGCCAGCCCAGUCCCUGGCAUGCGGUAGCCCCAGCUGGGGGGCAGGGCAGCACGCAAGACCUUUCCUGCCCCGUCUUCUGCCUCCUCCUCACUCUUCCCUUCCAGUCCCCAUUGAUGGCCCCCACCCAGCAUAGGAGGCUGGGGAGCUUGGGUUACCCAGGCCCCUGGUUAUUUUUAUUGCCACCAGCUCAGGAGAUAAAUAUACCUCCCCUCCCCGCAGCUGUCCUGGACGGAGUAACACAUCCCUUCCCAAUUCACUCCCUCUCCUACCGUUCAUCCACUCACCUCAACGUCGAGUUGACUCACCCGAACGUCUUCUGCUCACAUUCUCUCCUAGUCAGUCCCUCUGGACCCUGGACUCCCUGCAGAAAGACAGCUUGACCCCCAAGCUCAGAAAUGGGACGGGAGGAGAGCCUCGGUGUCUUGGCUCCACCUAGUGGCUUCUCGAGACACCACACCUAGCGAAGGGGUCUAGCGGGAGCCUCGCCUUGAUGCCACCCGGCUGGGGCAGGACUUCACAACACUGCGGGGAGGAGGCGCCGCGCAGAAGUUGCUUCUGCUAGUGGUUGAGCCUCCAGGCUGAGCCUGGGCCCUGAGACCCCUCUCCCACUUGGCCAGGCGAGGGGCUGGUGGUCUACAGCCCACUGCCUCUUCCUCCUUGUGAUUCCAAACCGUUCUGUUAGAUCCCACAAUCCAGGGAGGUUCUUGGAAUUCAUUUGCGGGUCUCUGGAAAUAGUUAAGGGCAGAAACUGAAGCUCCCCAGAGAGGACAGAAGGGGAACCCAGGGAUCAAGAUGGACUGCUGUUCAUUCCCAGCUUGUUAGAGUUCCUGGGAUUCAAGAAGCCACCAGUCCUCUAGAACAGAUCUCAAAAUGAAUCCCCCAAGAGUGGUUAUCUGGUCUGUGUUUGAACACCCAGGAACAGGGUCCUCACUCCCUCUGGUGGCAGUUCGUUCCAGGACAGAGACAAGUAUUGUGACUGGCUCGUUUGGGCUGAAAUUGGUGCCUGUAGCUUCCACCCUUCAGACCUGGUUCUGCCUCCUGGAACCAUAUAAGAAAAGUCCAAGCUCUUUUACCCAAGAGCCUUUUAGACACUUAAGAUGGCCCCACUCUAGGUUUUAUUUAUUUUGAAAUAGUUCAUGUACUCGAUCAAUAAAGAAUCACAUUCCAGACGGUGGUGUGCGUCUCUCAAGCCCCCACAGCUCCCAAGCAUCAAUUCCCUGCUGGCUUCUCUUUUUUUGUGUGUGAUGGAGUCUCGCUCUGUCGUCCAGACUGGAGUGCAGUGGCGUGAUCUUGGCUUGCUACAACGUCUGCCUCCUGGGUUCACGUGAUUCUCCUGCCUCAGCCUCCCGAGUAACUGGAACUACAGGCAAAGGCACCUGCCAUCACGCCCAGCUAAUUUUUGUAUUUUUUGUAGAGAUGAGGUCUCACCGCGUUGGCCAGGCUGGUCUUGAACUCCUGACCUCAAGUGAUCCGACCGCUUUGGCCUCCCAAAGUGAUGGGAUUACAGGCGUGAGCCACCACACCUGUCCCCUGCUGGCAUCUCUUUCUUCCUCCCAAGUCAGAGCCACUGUCCUCUCCAUUCUUUUUAUUGUUAUUUUGCCUUUUGAAAAUAUUUUUGCAUGCUGGGCAUGGUGGCUCAUACCUGUAAUGCCAGCACUGUAGGAGGCUGAGGAGGGCAGGUCACUUGAGUGCAGGAGUUUGAGACCAGCCUGGGUAACAUAGUGGCGAGACCUAUCUCUAUUUUUAAAAACAUUUUAAGCCAGGUGUGGUGUCUCACGCCUGUAAUCCCAGCACUUUGGGAGGCUGAGGCAGGCAGAUCACCUGAGGUCAGGAGUUUGAGACCAGCCUGACCAACAUGGUGAAACCCCAUCUCUACUAAAAAUACAAAAAUUAGGUGGGCAUGGUGGUACACGCCUGUAAUCCCAGCUACUUGGGAGGCUGAGGCAGGAGAAUCACUUGAACCUGGGAGGUGGAGGUUGCAGUGAGCCGAGAUGGCGCCACUGCACUCCAGUCUGGGCAACAAGAGUGAAACUCUAUCUCAAAAGCAAACAAACAAACAAAAAACAUUUUAAGGCCAGGCAUGGUGGCUCACGCCUGUAAUUCCAGCACUUUGAGAGGCCGAGGUGGGAGGAUCACCAGAGCUCAAGAGUUAGAGACAAGCCUGGCCAAUAUGGUGAAAUCCCGUCUCUACUAAAAAAUACAAAAUAGCCGGGCGUGGUGGCGGGCGCCUGUAUACCCAGCUACUUAGGAGGCUGAGGCAGGAGAAUCACUGGAACCCGGGAAGCAGAGGUUGCAGUGAGCCAAGAUUCCGCCAUCGCACUCCAGCCUGGGUGACAGAGUGAGACUCCGUCUCAAAAAAUAAUAAUAAUAAUAAUAAAAAAUAAUUGUAAAAAUAAAAAAUAAUUAAAAAAAUA